AGUAUUCAGUUGUCAGAGGUGAAAUUCUUGGAUUAACUGAAGACUAACUACUGCGAAAGCAUUUGCCAAGGACGUUUUUCAUUAAUCAAGAACGAAAGUUAGGGGGAUCGAAGAUGAUCAGAUACCGUCGUAGUCUUAACCAUAAACUAUGCCGACUAGGGAUCGGGUGUUGUUCUUUUUUGACGCACUCGGCACCUUACGAGAAAAUCAAAAGUCUUUGGGUUCUGGGGGGAGUAUGGUCGCAAGGCUGAAACUUAAAGGAAU
rnacentral:rRNA from 1 species